rnacentral:rRNA from 1 species
UACAGAGGGGGCAAGCGUUAUUCGGAAUUAUUGGGCGUAAAGGGCGCGUAGGCGGCUUGGCAAGUGGAAGGUGAAAUCCCUCGGCUUAACCGAGGAACUGCCCUCCAAACUGCUUGGCUUGAGACCGGGAGAGGUGAGUGGAAUUCCCAGUGUAGCGGUGAAAUGCGUAGAUAUUGGGAGGAACACCAGUGGCGAAGGCGGCUCACUGGACCGGUACUGACGCUGAUGCGCGAAAGCGUGGGGAGCAAGCGGG